CUCAAUACUGAUCCAAGGAUGGUGUUAUUUUGCUUGUGAUGAAGAGUUGAUAUUAUAUAAGAUAUGAAUUUUACUAUUUCCAAUAAUCUUUCAGUGAAGGUUUCUUUCUCUCAACAACCAGAAAUUGUUAUUGAUACUACAUCAUCUAUAGAAGAUAUAAAAAUGUAUAUGGAAACUCUGCAAGCCACUAUUUUAUGUAAAGGAACUGACAUACACUAUAGGUGAAAAUUGAAAAUAAACUUAAAGAUUCACCUAAAUCGAGGCUCCAUCUAGAACUGUGACACCUGAAGUAAAAACAAGCAUCAAGUACAUCUUUUAGUAGUAGUGUGAAAAGAAAGAAAGUAUCUAUCUACAUUACCUUUGAAAAAUUCCAAAUCAUCUUGUAAGUCAAUAGAUAUGUUUUUUAGGUAGCAGAUUUUUUUUGUAAUUAUCUAACUGUAUG